UAUCACGUUGAAGCACUGGUUCCCGUACGAUCACCGAAGUUAAGUAACGUUGAACAUGGCCAGUACCUAAAGGGGUGACCGCUUGGAAUACCAGGUGGUGUAAG